rnacentral:rRNA from 1 species
GAUGAACGCUAGCGGGAGGCUUAAUACAUGCAAGUCGAGGGGCAGCAUGGGACUUCGGUCCUGAUGGCGACCGGCGCACGGGUGAGUAACGCGUACACGACCUACCUUCAAGAGGGGGAUAGCCUUGGGAAACUAAGAUUAAUACCCCAUAGUAUUACUAUUAAUAAAUGAUUGUAAUUAAAGUUCCGACGCUUGAAGAUGGGUGUGCGUAUGAUUAGAUAGUUGGUGAGGUAACGGCUCACCAAGUCGACGAUCAUUAGGGGGCGUGAGAGCGUGGCCCCCCACACGGGUACUGAGACACGGACCCG